GAGCCGCUCGCCGCAGGAGCUCCUUUCAAGGGGAAAAAAUGGAUUUUUCGGCAGCCACAAAGUUUGUAUUGUUGCACAAAGAGGUGCAUUGAUGAGGUCGGGAGGUCCGCAUGGCGGUGACAAUCUUGGGUCUGUUCCGCAGACUCCCUACGCCUACCAUUUGCCAGAGGGGCACAAACAGUCUCCGGCCGCCAAGCCUCGGCCAUCCCGCCUCAGCACUCGGCUCCGAUAUUAUUGGCAAACACGGCAGGUCCAGGCGCCCGGGGCCCCAGGAGCCAGGAGACGAGCCGGGCCCUGGGGAACCAAGGGUGCCCACUCCACCCGGGCAGCGAUCUGGGUUCCAAGUGCUCAAGGAGGACCGCGCAGGAGAGAGCGUAGGGCGGAUUUGAGGCUGGAAAGAGCAAGAGAAAGGUAUCGGGGAGAGGCAGGAGAUCCAGUGGAGGAACCCUGACCAUGUCCUUGCGAGGUGCCCGCACUGGGCAAAGCACUUGGCAAUUCCAGCGCCAGGAGCACAUCCCCGAAGACCUCUCGCCGCCCCACUAGAGACUGACAGGGUCCCCCACUUUCCCUCUUUACGAGUCUCCCAGACUCCUUGUUCUCGCUCCCCCUCCAACCAGCGUGCUGGUUCAGCCCACGCUGCAUUCUGGGGGAGACUCCCCCCAACCAGAGGAAAAGAGGCUGGUAGCCCCAGAAUGUUCGCAACGGCACGGCCCAGGGGCAGCAUCUGGCCGGCAGGUCCUGAAACGGCGUUUCAAGGACACAGCCCCCGUCUAGGCGCCGCCACCGGGUGAGGGUCCCGGCACCUGGCUGGUCUCCACCUCUUGUCAGCCUGCGCUCUCUGGUCAGUCUCGGACUCCCUUGGGAUUUCCUCCUCGACGCCGCGUGGUCUGGGGACCCGGCCCCGGAGCGCCAGGGGAUCGGGGCGCAAAGACCCUCCCCCUCCCGGGCCCUCCCGCCGCCGCGGCCUCCCACGUAGCGUUUUGAACCCUCUUGGCGCUAAGGCAAGAACGAGCGUGGGGAGCGGGCCGGGCCAGCAGAGGCUCUAAAUCUUCCUUCAAUCUGUGAGUCGAUGAAGUCUGAGAAACAAAUUCAAAGCAGGCGCGCCUGCAGAGCCUUCCUGCAGAAAUAUUCCCCGGCAUUCAAGCGCAUCCAGGGGCGGCUCGAGCUGCCUUGUUUGGCUAAGGUCAGACGAGACUCGAGUUCUCCAAUAAAAAUAAAUCUCAAAUUAAUUAUGGCCUCGAGCGAGGGGCCAGACACUUGAAGCUGCAGUUGUGCAGUCUGGAGUUUUGGCGCUCGUUCGCCCGUCCCUCCCCCGCGCGCCCUCCCCCACCCCCCUUGCCAGCUCGAAUACCCGCCGAGGACGCCGGACCGGAGGGGCCGGGAGGAGGGAGGACGAAAGGGGAAGGACCCGCCCGAGACGCCC